GGUGCCAUAGCUCAGUCGGUAGAGCGGAGGAUGAAAAUCCUUGUGCCCUGGUUCGAUUCCAGGUGGCACCA
rnacentral:tRNA from 1 species